rnacentral:rRNA from 1 species
AAACCAACUGGGAUUACCUUAGUAACGGCGAGUGAAGCGGUAAAAGCUCAAAUUUGAAAUCUGGUACUUUCAGUGCCCGAGUUGUAAUUUGUAGAAUUUGUCUUUGAUUAGGUCCUUGCCUAUGUUCCUUGGAGCAGGACGUCAUAGAGGGUGAGAAUCCCGUUUGGCGAGGAUACCUUUUCUCUGUAAGACUUUUUCGAAGAGUCGAGUUGUUUGGGAAUGCAGCUCAAAGUGGGUGGUAAAUUCCAUCUAAAGCUAAAUAUUGGCGAGAGACCGAUAGCGAACAAGUACAGUGAUGGAAAGAUGAAAAGAACUUUGAAAAGAGAGUGAAAAAGUACGUGAAAUUGUUGAAAGGGAAGGGCAUUUGAUCAGACAUGGUGUUUUUUGCAUGCACUCGCCUCUCGUGGGCUUGGGCCUCUCAAAAAUUUCACUGGGCCAACAUCAAUUCUGGCAGCAGGAUAAAUCAUUAAGAAUGUAGCUACUUCGGUAGUGUUAUAGCUUUUUGGAAUACUGUUAGCCGGGAUUGAGGACUGCGCUUCGGCAAGGAUGUUGGCAUAAUGGUUAAAUGCCGC